UACAAUGCACGUCGCUCUUGGAAUGCCGCAGCUCGCCUUUCUACCGCCAAAAAUCGGUUGAAUACACUCGUGUGUCGAUGUUUUACAAGUCCUGUUUCAGAUUCUCGGUGUGCGAUUUGGUCGCGAGUGGAAGACAGUGUGAUGGUUUACAAGUUGAGUUCCUUUCUAAGUAGCAGAAUAAGUGUGAUGAACAACUGUUCAUGAACUGGGGUGAAGAAGCAACUCUAAGAUUUAAAAUGAACUGAAGUGGUCGUGAGGGUAUUUUUAUGGCUGAUCAGAAGAUCCCUUCUCAGGCAGGAUUGGUGAAGAUAGUGGUUCCAUGCUCUGCAGCUAUAGAAGAGACACGCAACUGCAUCCAUGACUGAUUGUCCAGUACUUUACAUCUGGCCUCCUCGUGCUGCCUUGCUGGUGAAGGUAAAUAGAGCAUUCAGUUAAGGUACAACAGGCGGGUUCAGGGUCCAUCUGUUUGAAAUUUUAAAGACUGGGGGUUGUGUAGUUUGCUUGGAUAUAUGAAGAUGGCGAUGUUCUCGAUUCUUGAGCACUGAGACAUCAUUUAAGAGCUUUAAAUAAGAGCCAGGCACCUGGGUCAGUUAGUAAAAGCAGCAUUGAAUGAUCUAUUGAGAAUCAUGAUGUGUUUUUGCUCCUAGCCCUUAUCUCUUUUACAGAUAGUAAAAUAUAACUUAUCUAUCAUUUCGUGCUGUGGGAACUUGUCGCUCCAUGAAAGGGUCCGUAUUGAUGGUUCUGAAUGUUGAUGGAGAGCAUUGACUAAAUGCAACAAACAACGUCAAAGAAUGGGUCGGCGGCCAACGGCCUCAUCUACGAUAGCUCGGAGGACCUGUUUUCAUCUGAUUGCAGGCAUGGUUUGGGACCCUUUUCAAGCAUUAUUUGCUUAUUUCAAGCACUAUCAUAGGAAAUGCUGUACUUCGUAUUCCACGUGUGGCUCCGAGCAAGCUUGGAUGAAUUUUCUUGCUUCUAUAUUUGGCCUCACUCUCAGAUCGCAGGAGACCGUCACUUUAAGUGUCUAGAAGCAACCCUGAUUGAUUCAAUCAAUACAAAAGGUUUUGAAACUCUGCAAUUGGUAAUGCUGCGACCACUUAGCUGGCGAAAGAAGGAUAGGCAAGUUCCAGGUUGCUCAUGUUCUUGCAUGUAGAUUGGAGCUCAAUUUGACAUUUAAUUUCAUUAUGGAAACAGAGAUCUUUUGUUUGUGCAUUAUCAGACACUUGGAGUUAAGGGUUUAGGAUUGAGCAGCAAUAUUUUGAAAUCUGUAAGUAAUGUGGUGCCUAGUAUGUAAUAAAUUAUUGAACAUAGGAUCAAGGCCUUUACUCACAGCUUUACAUCCACAAAGGUCACAUGAGGAUUACCGUUGAUAAAAAUACUUAUCAGGAAGAUUAACAUUCAUGGGCUUUGUCCAACGUUGCGCAGUUGGCUCAGGAUCGCUGCAUGUGGACCCAGAACCAAGAAGAGAGAUAUUUGAUGAUUUCAGUGGUUGAGAAUGAGUAAACCACACGGGUUACCUCACAGUAAUCUAUAUGAUUGCAAUACAAUCAUCAACAUGAUGGUGCAUUACAAACAUAGAAAUUUUGUGAAGAAACUUCUGAGAGUCGGUCAGUUGAUUUGCAAAACCUGUAAAAAUUACUUCGACAUGAAAUUUCCAUGUGUUGUUUCGUAACUAAA